UACGGAGGGUGCAAACGUUGCUCGGAAUCAUUGGGCGUAAAGCGCACGUAGGCGGCUCGUUAAGUCGGAUGUGAAAGCCCUGGGCUCAACCCAGGAAGUGCAUUCGAAACUGGCGAGCUUGAAUAUGGAAGAGGGUCGCGGAAUUCCCGGUGUAGAGGUGAAAUUCGUAGAUAUCGGGAGGAACACCAGUGGCGAAGGCGGCGACCUGGGCCAAUAUUGACGCUGAGGUGCGAAAGCGUGGGGAGCAAACAGGAUUGAGAUACCCGGAG
rnacentral:rRNA from 1 species